CGUUGCGGUUCUAUUUUUGUUGGUUUUCUAGGACCGCCGUAAUGAUUAAUAGGGAGUAUCGGGGGCAUCCGUAUUCAAUUGUCAGAGGUGAAAUUCUUGGAUUUAUUGAAGACGAACUACUGCGAAAGCAUUUGCCAAGGAUGUUUUCAUUAAUCAGGAACGAAAGUUGAGGGGAUCGAAGACGAUCAGAUACCGUCGUAGUCUCAACCAUAAACUAUGCCGACUAGGGAUCGGGCGAUGUUAAUUAUUGACUCGCUCGGAACCUUACGAGAAAUCAAAGUCUUUGGGUUCUGGGGGGGAGUAUGGUCGCAAGGCUGAAACUUAAAAGGAAUUGACGGAAGGGCACCACCAGGAGUGGAGCCUGCGGCUUAAUUUGACUCAACACGG
rnacentral:rRNA from 1 species